rnacentral:tRNA from 1 species
UGGAGUGUAGCUCAGUCGGUAGAGCGCCGCCCUCAUAAGGCGGGACCGUCGCCGGUUCGAACCCGGCCACUCCGACCA